rnacentral:siRNA from 1 species
GCCUCGUUCAGUUGCUAUGCGUC